CAGAUGUCCUAGCAUGGCUUAGAGUGGAGAUCCAGGAAGCAGGAGGACCAGAUAAACAGCAAGGGAUAACAGAAGUGUAGGAUUGAUUGUGAGCUUCUCCCCCCAAACUCAGAAAAACUGCCAGGCCUAUGGUAACAUCUCCGUUUUCAGAAGCUCAGAAAAGUAAGCUGCUUGCUCAAGAAUGGACGGCUUCAAGGUGGCAGAGCUGGAAGUUUCUAACUCACUCACCUCAUACUCAGACCUGCACUGUUUUUCAAGACAGUCAAUAUUUCAGGCCAUCUACUGAUUGGAUGAGGCCCACCAGCAUUCUGAAAGACAAGGAAUCUGAGACCUGGCUGGGAGAAGAGGACUUGCCUAAAGUUAUCCCACACAGCAAAUUAGUUGGAAAACCAGGAUAGUUGAGUAAAUAUCCUGGAGCCCAGCCAAGUAAUGAAGCCAGAAUUCAGAAAGCUGUUUUGGCUAGAUCUUGGAUUUUUACAAUAAAGGGUCUGUAAGGGAUAUUUGUGAAAAAUGUUGACACUUGACGGCUGUCCUGAUUCAUUCAGCUACCUAGGUUAUCUCUGCCUCUCUUUGACUUGUGUUUUGUCUUUUAAGAUGGCAGUCUUGCUCUUUUGCCUGGGCUGGUCUUGAACUCCUGGGCUCAAGCAGUUUUCCUGCUUUAGCCUCCUGAGUAGCUGGGGCUACAGGAGGACAUCACUGUGCCCAGCUCUCUCCGUAUCUUUGACUAGGUUAUUUUACAACCCCAUACGAUAGAAAUGAAGUUAUAGAAAACUGAUAGGAAUACAAAUAAUUAUUAUCCAUGGAAAUGCAAAUUGGAUCUAAUGGAAUGAAACUGAUUUUUUUUCCAGCAGAUAGUGACCACCUUUGUAUCCUUUUGUAAAUUCAUUUCAGCAUUCCAUAUUUGACUAAAAAUGUGUGACACUCCCAAUUUGCUUUUGAAUUCAUUGUAAUAUCUACCAAUUCCCUCAUUAAUUAAUGAGUUAAAUAAAGCCUUUGGCAUGUAUUUAUUUUGUAUCUAUAGGAGAGUCAUGAGUAUAUCUUCUUUUAAAAGGUAUUCUUCAGUAGGUCUUAGGGUGCACAAUACUUACAUCUUAUUUUCUCAUUCUACACUGUUCCCACACCUCACCCAGAAUAAAUGUAAUCUCCUGUGAGCUUCUGAACAUCAUGAAGAAUAACAGCUCAUUUUGUAAAGUCAUUUAGUAUUCG
rnacentral:lncRNA from 1 species